AUUGAACGCUGGCGGAAUGCUUUACACAUGCAAGUCGAACGGCAGCACGGACUUCGGUCUGGUGGCGAGUGGCGAACGGGUGAGUAAUGUAUAGGAACGCGCCCAGUCGUGGGGGAUAACGUAGGGAAAAUUACGCUAAUACCGCAUACGAUCUAUGGAUGAAAGCGGGGGAUCGCAAGACCUCGCGCGAUUGGAGCGGCCGAUAUCAGAUUAGGUAGUUGGUGGGGUAAAGGCCCACCAAGCCAACGAUCUGUAGCUGGUCUGAGAGGACGACCAGCCACACUGGAACUGAGACACGGUCCAGACUCCUACGGGAGGCAGCAGUGGGGAAUUUUGGACAAUGGGCGAAAGCCUGAUCCAGCCAUUCCGCGUGCAGGAUGAAGGCCCUCGGGUUGUAAACUGCUUUUGUACAGAACGAAAAGGUUUCUACUAAUACUAGGAGCUCAUGACGGUACUGUAAGAAUAAGCACCGGCUAACUACGUGCCAGCCGCCGCGGUAA
rnacentral:rRNA from 1 species